GAGCCCCUUAUUCAUAUGGUACCGUCAAUAAACUUCUUCCCAUAUAAAAGAUCUUUACAUACCGAAGUGCGUCAUCAAUCACGCGGCGUCGCUCCGUCAGACUUUCGUCCAUUGCGGAAGAUUCUCG
rnacentral:rRNA from 1 species